AGUGAACGCUGGCGGUAGGCCUAACACAUGCAGGUCGAACGGCAGCACAGUAAGAGCUUGCUCUUACGGGUGGCGAGUGGCGGACGGGUGAGGAAUACAUCGGAAUCUACUUUUUCGUGGGGGGUAACGUAGGGAAACUUACGCUAAUACCGCAUACGACCUACGGGUGAAAGCAGGGGAUCUUCGGACCUUGCGCGAUUGAAUGAGCCGAUGUCGGAUUAGCUAGUUGGCGGGGUAAAGGCCCACCAAGGCGACGAUCCGUAGCUGGUCUGAGAGGAUGAUCAGCCACACUGGAACUGAGACACGGUCCAGACUCCUACGGGAGGCAGCAGUGGGGAAUAUUGGACAAUGGGCGCAAGCCUGAUCCAGCCAUACCGCGUGGGUGAAGAAGGCCUUCGGGUUGUAAAGCCCUUUUGUUGGGAAAGAAAAGCAGCAGGUUAAUACCCCGCUGUUCUGACGGUACCCAAAGAAUAAGCACCGGCUAACUUCGUG
rnacentral:rRNA from 1 species